rnacentral:lncRNA from 1 species
AGCGGCGAUACCGAUGUCCAGGAUGACUGAAAUCUGGACACCGAUCCUGAAAUAUGCAGUUUUUGUUCCUGGGUUAUGUGUCAGCACGUGGUGACUGCAUAGGGUACCUCACGAAAGAUAUGGUCGGAAGGCAGCCACGUGGGACCCGUGGGCCGCGUGUUUGCGACCGCUUCCUUCGGCAUUCUCUAAAACGCUUCGAACGUGUCCCAGAAAAUCUAAACAACUACUGAACCAUCAUCUGAUUACGAGAGCAGCCAUAGUGGAGAGCUAGGAAACUUUUGACCCCCUGGAGUUCAUUAACGUGUGGCUGCCGCCACCAGGGUUUCAUCCGGCGACCUUCGGGUCAGAAGUCGAGCAACAUAACCACUAGACCACAACGUACGGUCACACUACAGCCUCAAAGUAGACGAAAUUUACCGCUUCUGACAUUUUUUUUCCUUCGGUAAUCCAAUUUUACUGGCUUUUCUAUCACUUAUGGAUACGCGAUGAUCGCCUGCCGAUUCAAGGGCAUUUAGCUUGGCAAGCUCGGUGUACAUGAAGCUGCUUAAGAAUGCCUGCGAGCUUGUUAUUGAGGUCCGGAUAUUGUCCAGUUUUCGGCCCAUAGAAACAUACGCAUUGUCUAGGGCUUCACGCUCGAUGAUGGACGCGUCAGCACCGUGUUUUCAUGCGCGUCCGUCAAAUAGCGUGAAACCCUGUACAAUGAACGAACGCAGCCGUGUACCAACCAGAGAACGCUUGGAGACGCUGGAGUAGUGGCGCGCGAGCGCGCAUUUUUUCAUAUUUGGCUUGUUUCAAGCGCUUUUGUUUUUUCUCGGAAAAAAACAACCAGACAGAUUUCCGCAACGAAAACAUUGGGGGACAUUUAAGCUUCGCCUUUAAGAGCUGAACGCGAUAGCGAAAUCUGGCCCCUAGUGCGCACUUCAAACUUUAAGUGCAUACUUAUUAAUGUGUGUUAUUACUUAUUAAUGUACACAAGCGCGCGCGAUGUAUCUAUCCUAAUG